UGACGGUCAACGUCAGCGUCCACAGGAUGUGGAAGGCGGCCGCCUGCGAGGAUCACAUCCUGCUGCCAAAGAUCAUUCCUCAGUACUUCGCUGGCGCAGAGCUCGUCGGCGAUGGCGAAGCUGGCAGCACAAAGACCUUCCACUUCACUCCAGGUUUAGAUUUUGAUGCUGCUUUCCGACAUUCGUGUGCGUGCGAGAAGAGAUCGCAAAACAAGGAUAAAAAAUAAUCUCACAUCGAUAAAAAGAAUCGGAUGAUACAUAUCGAAACCUUUUUGGUUGAAUUGAUGUAUGAUCUGUUAAUUGGAACUAAUUUGGCUAUUGUUGCGAUCCAUCGAACUGCAGCCGCAGAGCCACUGACCUUCGUGAAGGACCAUGUUGAGGUGUUGGACCACGGAAGCCACACGAUGAGGUACAAGGCGAUCGAAGGAGGUCACCUCGGCCGCACGCUCAAGUCGCACGCGUUCGAGGUCAAGUUCGAAGCGGCGGGCGCCGACAGCUGUGUCGUGAAGACCAAGACAGAAUACGAUACGAUCGACGACGCGCCGCUGCCGGAGGACGAGGUGCAGAAGAUGACGGACGUGCCAGUACGGAUGAUGAAGUCGGUGGAAGCCUAUCUGAUAGCCAACCCCGGUGUUUGUGCCUGAGCCCCUGAGCCUCUGAGCCGGUGGGCUUUCGUGUACCGACGUUGGUGCUUCCAGUGUCGUAGUGCUUGUCAUUGGGCGUGGAUCAAUCAAUAAUGAGGUGAUGCAGCAGUGCUGGAAUCAUCACCUUUAGAGUGAGAGAGUGAGAGAGUGAGAGAGAGAUAGGACAUGACAUGUUGAUGCCAUCUCUCUCUUUGUCUGUUCUUUCCAUCUUCUGCAAUGUGGUGUUUUGUGUGGUCGUUGAAGGACAUAUAUCUACAAAUAAGAUGUGAUUUCUUUGGUAUCAUGUAAUCCUUCUUUUUUGGUAUCAUUCUUAGUAGUCUCUUUUAAAGAUUCAAAGACUAGCGUAAUCCAAAUUAAACAUGGAUUUAAUUGAUUUUACUUAAACUAUAUGAUACGUUUAUAAUGUUUGUUCGUAACGAGUCAACCUUCUCGUAAUUUUAUUUACUCUCAUCCAUAAAUAAAUCAGUUACCGAUAAAUGAAUGCAUGAACAAACAAAUCGAUGUCACCUUAGUAAAAUAUACCUUGGGAUUAUAUAACUAAAAUUGAACAAAAUACCUUCUUAGACGACUAAAAUGGAUGCAUUUUGCUGAAAGAUUUUACGAUAAAAAAUUGAAGGUUAAUUCGUCGUCCAUAAAGUUUAAGUACAUAAGUGAUAGGUUCAUCCAUCGUCCAUAAAGUUUAAGUACAUAAGUGAUAAAACUUCAUCCAAUCUUAUGUUUGUUCAAAAUUUAUAUAAUUAAAUUUGAACAAAAUAUCUUACUAAAAUGGAUGCAUUUUGCUUGCUCUGAAAAAAUUUUACGAUAAAAAAUUGAAGGCUAAUCCAUCGUCAAUAAAAUUUAAGUACAUAAGUGAUAACGUAUCUUAGAACUUUCAUCCAAUCUUGUGUCGGUUCAAAAUUAAAUGUUAACAUGACAUGAGAUUUGACGUAAUAGUGAUGUGACCUUAUCUACAAACUCGAUAGAAACAAAUUAAUUCUUCUAUUUUUUAAGAUAAAUACUGGUAAUACGGCAACAUCAAAAAUAUUAUAUCGUACAAUUUGGUUCUUCCUCUUAGUUUCAAACAUGAAGCUCCACAAAGACGGCAAUAAAAUAAAAUUAACGAAGAAAAAUGCAACACGACAUCAACUCAUCGUGAUCUCACUCACCCUAACAAAGAAUAUAAUAAUAAACUACACCGUUGAAUGAACUGUUAAUUCUUUCAUUAAAUGCAUGAAAUACAUUUAUGGUGAAACUUUGUUUCUAACAUACAUACAUACAUACAUACAUACAUACAUACAUAUUUUAAUCUGACUAGCAUAUGCUUGAAGAAUCCGAUCAUUCUCGACUACGGCUGAUGAUGAUAUGGGGCUGCUCAACAAUGAAGACCGCAAAGUCUGCAUGCUUGUGAGCUUUGAAGUCUUCGCUUCAGUCAACAAAUACUAGCUAGUUUGAAUGCUUCCAAGUUUACCAUGACACCCACUUCUUAGAACAUUGAAUUGGGAUGAGGAUGCCAACAAGAGAAGAUGAACCGAUUCAUUGGCAUGGAGCGAUCUUCGCGUCAUCUCAGACCCCCCCCUUUUUCCAAUCUAAUCGAUGAGGUUACCUAAAGUUCAAACUUCAUCUGGAAGCCCGAGAUGACCCGGCACUCCAUCGCCGUCUAUAAAUGGACUCUUCCCCUUCCCUUCACCACCAACCCAUCACAGCCUGCAGAGCUCUCAUCCGGCAAAACACCUUCAUCGACGCCAUGGUUGCCGGGUGCUGCACCGAAGAGCUGACGCUCAAUGUCAGCGUCCACAGAGUAUGGAAGGCGGCCGCCUGCGAGGAUCACAUCCUGCUGCCAAAGAUCAUGCCGCAGUACUUCUCCGGCGCCGAGCUCAUCGGGGAUGGUGAAGCUGGCAGCACCAAGAUCUUCCACUUCGAUCCAGGUUUGGAUUCACAUCACCAAUGCUUCUUUCAGGUAACAGGAAGAUCCGUAAACUAUGCUGAUUUCAACUGGCAAUUCUGUGGAUGAGACUGCAGGUAUGAAGCCACUGAUCUUCGUGAAGAACCAUGUCGAAGUGCUGGAUCAUGGGAGCCACACCUUGAAGUACAAGACCGUCGAGGGAGGCCACCUCGGCCACACGCUCAAGUCGCACACCAUCGAGCACAAGUACGACGCCUUGAGCGCCGACACCUGCUCUCUGAAGAUCAAGGUGGAGUAUGAUACCAUCGACGACAAGGGGCUCCCCGAGGAGGAGGUGAACAAGAUCAAGGAGGGGUCGGUAUGGGUCGCCAAGGCUGUGGAAGGUUACCUGACCACCAACCCCGCUGCUUAUGCCUAAGCCUCUGGAAACUAUCCGUAUUGUCUGUCAUGUGUGGCUUAAUAAUGGUGGCGAUGCAGCAAUACUA
rnacentral:lncRNA from 1 species